AAACUUACCUGACACGAGAGGCACCUUGAUCAACUAGGAGGUCCUCUCAGGAUGAGGCCCUUUCAUUGCACUUCGACUGCGUUGACUCCUGCGAUUACCCCUAAUGUGGGUAACUCGAGCGUAUAAUUUCUGGUAGUGGGGACCUGCGUUCGCGCUCGUCCCCU
rnacentral:snRNA from 1 species